GAAGCAGGGCAAAGCCAGGAGGAAGCAGGAAAGUCUUGGUGGGGCAGCAGCCUUUUUGGUUCAAGAGCCGGUUAAAAGAAAGCACAUGGGCUCUCCCACCCCGGGGCAUGCCCAACAAAAUGUCUGUGGUCGCCUUGCCCGGAGCUAUUUUAAAACAUCUGUAAGAGCCAUCCAAGGAGAGACGUAUGGAUUUUUCUGCUCAAAGGUCGGCCGGCCUCCAGAUUCUGUUAAACUUGGCAGCAACAGUGGCUCGGCAACUCUGUGCUCAGGUUGGAAUUUAAAACAAGAAAAAUCCGGAUGCUCUCUACGAUGGGACUCCUCUUUGCGUGGGGCUGGAAGACGACUUAGAAAUCCAAGCCCCUUUCGGGGCACCCGGCUUCCUCUCGUGGAAUGUGCUGGGCACAAAUUGUAAACAAGAAGUUCAUGGACCCGUUUCUGUUCCGUGGAAGCCCCUCUCUAGUCCCUAUCCCAGAUCCUGGGGAGGUUUCCCAUUUCUCCAGCUCAUUUUACAGACGAACAAACUGAGGCGAACACAGAUUAAGUGACUUAUCCAGGGCUAUGGAGCUAGGAAGGGUCGAAGCCAGACGUGAACUCACAAAGAUGAAUCUUCCUGACUCCGGCCGGGGCCCCGCAAUGUAAUAUUGUACUGCAAAAAGUGGUUCGUCGUUGUCCUUCCCUCUCAAAGACCAAAUGACAUUGUUGGUGAUGUCUUGACUGAAGCAUAAAUUGGAUUUGGGUGAGGCAGAGUUGCCCAGAGUCGUUGAAGUCCAGUGGCCAGCCAAGGGUCAGGAUGACCACUGAUGUCCCAGGAGGCAGUGGCUGACUUCACGCCCCAAGCACGCCAAAGUGGCUGCUGCUGCAUGGCUAGCUCUCACGUGUCCCUUCUGCCAGUGGAGGUCUUCCCAAGCCUGGGGCAUCUCCCUCCUGGGUCUCCGGGCUCUGGCCCCUGGGCGUGCUACGGCUUCUUGGAGUCACGGGUCAGAGCCCUGAAAAGCCUGGCCCACCCGACGGGCACGUCCUCCCUGCACCCCUGCUUUAUAGCCCACCCUAAAAAGGAACGAGGGGAGCAAUUUGAGAGGAAACUGAAGACUUUAUUAUCCGAUGCAGAAUGAAGUGAGUAGGAGGACGAUAGAAACAGACCCAUCUUCCAGAGGCUAACGGUGAUUGCUUUACGAUGCAGGAUGGACAUAUUUUGGGGACGUAGCCCAAGUGGGGAUUUAUUUUACUGGACCCUGCAGAGUUAUGAUGAGGGUUUUCUUUUCCUUAGUGUUCAACUGCAGUGCACAAGAGGGAAGGAAGGAUAAUGAAUGAGUAUACAAACAACGAAGGUAAUAAAAGUUCCAAAUACUUCCUAAAAUGUGUCUAA